GAUGAAGAACGUAGCGAAACGCGAUAGUUAAUGUGAAUUGCAGAAUUCAGUGAAUCAUCGAAUCUUUGAACGCACAUUGCGCCCGCCAGUAUUCUGGCGGGCAUGCCUGUCUGAGCGUCAUUUCAACCCUCACGCCCCUAGGGCGUGGUGUUGGGGAUCGGCCAAAGCCCGCGAGGGACGGCCGGCCCCUAAAUCUAGUGGCGGACCCGUCGUGGCCUCCUCUGCGAAGUAGUGAUAUUCCGCAUCGGAGAGCGAUGAGCCCCUGCCGUUAAACCCCCAACUUUCCAAGGUUGACCUCAGAUCAGGUAGGAAUACCCGCUGAACUUAAGCAUAUCAAUAAGCGGAGGA
rnacentral:misc_RNA from 1 species